GACGAACGCUGGCGGCGUGCUUAACACAUGCAAGUCGUACGGUAAGGCCCUUUCGGGGGUACCCGAGUGGCGAACGGGUGAGUAACACGUGAGUAACCUGCCCACAACUUUGGGAUAACGCUAGGAAACUGGUGCUAAUACUGGAUAUGUGCUCCUGCUGCAUGGUGGGGGUUGGAAAGCUCCGGCGGUUGUGGAUGGACUCGCGGCCUAUCAGCUUGUUGGUGGGGUAGUGGCCUACCAAGGCGGCGACGGGUAGCCGGCCUGAGAGGGUGACCGGCCACAUUGGGACUGAGAUACGGCCCAGACUCCUACGGGAGGCAGCAGUGGGGAAUAUUGCACAAUGGGCGCAAGCCUGAUGCAGCAACGCCGCGUGCGGGAUGACGGCCUUCGGGUUGUAAACCGCUUUCAGCAGGGACGAAGCUUUUUGUGACGGUACCUGCAGAAGAAGCACCGGCUAACUACGU
rnacentral:rRNA from 1 species